UACGUAGGGUCCGAGCGUUGUCCGGAAUUAUUGGGCGUAAAGAGCUCGUAGGCGGUUUGUCGCGUCUGCUGUGAAAUCCCGAGGCUCAACCUCGGGCCUGCAGUGGGUACGGGCAGACUAGAGUGCGGUAGGGGAGAUUGGAAUUCCUGGUGUAGCGGUGGAAUGCGCAGAUAUCAGGAGGAACACCGAUGGCGAGGGCAGAUCUCUGGGCCGUAACUGACGCUGAGGAGCGAAAGCAUGGGGAGCGAACAGG
rnacentral:rRNA from 1 species